GACGAACGCUGGCGGCGUGCUUAACACAUGCAAGUCGAACGAAGUGGCGAACGGGUGAGUAAUACGUGGGUAACCUGCCCUCCUUUUUGGGAUAAGACUUGGAAACGGGGUCUAAUACCGAAUAAAGGGGGAGGGGCUCGCGGCCUUUCAGCUUGUUGGUGGGGUGAUGGCCUACCAAGGCGUGGACGGGUAGCCGGCCUGAGAGGGCGACCGGCCACAUUGGGACUGAGAUACGGCCCAGACUCCUACGGGAGGCAGCAUUGGGGGAUAUUGCACAAUGGGCGCAAGCCUGAUGCAGCCAUGCCGCGUGUAUGAAGAAGGCCUUCGGGUUGUAAAGUACUUUCAGCGGGGAGGCGUUACCCGCAGAAGAAGCACCGGCUAACUCCGUGCCAGCAGCCGCGGUAAUUC
rnacentral:rRNA from 1 species